rnacentral:rRNA from 1 species
UACGAAGGGGGCUAGCGUUGCUCGGAAUCACUGGGCGUAAAGCGCACGUAGGCGGACUCUUAAGUCGGUGGUGAAAUCCUGGAGCUCAACUCCAGAACUGCCUUCGAUACUGAGAGUCUCGAGUCCGGGAGAGGUGAGUGGAACUGCGAGUGUAGAGGUGAAAUUCGUAGAUAUUCGCAAGAACACCAGUGGCGAAGGCGGCUCACUGGCCCGAUACUGACGCUGAGGUGCGAAAGCGUGGGGAGCGAACAGG